rnacentral:lncRNA from 1 species
UCCUGCUUGAACAUGUUCUUGUUCAAUUUCUUGUACAAGUGGUGAAAGAAGUAACAGUUCUUGCUGGAGUAUGUGGAAUUGAUCCUUUAUGCAGAAUGGAUUACUUCCUAAGGCAGUUGGAGUAGUGGAGGUUAGCAAUUAUCAACUUGAAAUUCCAAAUAAGUACUUCUCCCCGUUAGUAAGUGAACUUUUGAAGUUUUGGUCACUGCUCUAUUAGAAUCAUUUGUAUACCCAGUUUUUGAUAAUAUUGUAGCCACAUUAACAGGUAACAGAAGAAUAAGGGAGAGAAGAAAAGGAAGAACAUGAAGGCCUUACGUUGUAAUGGAACACGUUUAUGGAGACAACUCUGACUGGAGAUUCAACGAUGUAUUACGCAUAAGAUUUCUUAGACAAG